rnacentral:rRNA from 1 species
GUGCAGCAGGCGAGAAUAGUCUACAAUGGACGAAAGUCUGAUAGUGCGACGCCGUGUGUGCGAUUAAUUCCUUCGGGAUGUAAAGCACUUUUCUAUGAGAUAAAAGCUCUUUAGGUUAAUAGCUUAUUGAGACGGAUAUUAUUAUAGGAAUAAGCUCCGGCUAACUCCGUGCCAGCAGCCGCGGUAAUACGGAAGGAGCGAGCGUUGUCCGGAUUUACUAGGCGUAAAGGGCUAGUAGGCGACUAAUUAAGUUAUAUGUUAAAUCCCACGGCUCAACUGUGGUCCUGCAUGUAAUACUGGUUAGAUAGAGUACUGUAGAGGAAGGCAGAAUUCCUGGAGUAGCGGUGGAAUGCGCAGAUAUCAGGAAGAAUACCAAAAGCGAAGGCAGCCUUCUGGGCAGUUACUGACGCUGAAUAGCGAAGGUGUGGGUAGCGAACAGGAUUAGAUACCCGUGUAGU